GACGAACGCUGGCGGCGUGCCUAAUACAUGCAAGUAGAACGCUGAAGGAGGAGCUUGCUUCUCUGGAUGAGUUGCGAACGGGUGAGUAACGCGUAGGUAACCUGCCUGGUAGCGGGGGAUAACUAUUGGAAACGAUAGCUAAUACCGCAUAACAGUAGAUGUUGCAUGACAUUUGCUUAAAAGGUGCAAUUGCAUCACUACCAGAUGGACCUGCGUUGUAUUAGCUAGUUGGUGGGGUAACGGCUCACCAAGGCGACGAUACAUAGCCGACCUGAGAGGGUGAUCGGCCACACUGGGACUGAGACACGGCCCAGACUCCUACGGGAGGCAGCAGUAGGGAAUCUUCGGCAAUGGACGGAAGUCUGACCGAGCAACGCCGCGUGAGUGAAGAAGGUUUUCGGAUCGUAAAGCUCUGUUGUAAGAGAAGAACGAGUGUGAGAGUGGAAAGUUCACACUGUGACGGUAUCUUACCAGAAAGGGACGGCUAACUACGUGCCAGCAGCCGCGGUAAUACGUAGGUCCCGAGCGUUGUCCGGAUUUAUUGGGCGUAAAGCGAGCGCAGGCGGUUAGAUAAGUCUGAAGUUAAAGGCUGUGGCUUAACCAUAGUACGCUUUGGAAACUGUUUAACUUGAGUGCAAGAGGGGAGAGUGGAAUUCCAUGUGUAGCGGUGAAAUGCGUAGAUAUAUGGAGGAACACCGGUGGCGAAAGCGGCUCUCUGGCUUGUAACUGACGCUGAGGCUCGAAAGCGUGGGGAGCAAACAGGAUUAGAUACCCUGAAUUAACCCUCACUAAAGGGAACAAAAGCUGGGUACGAAGUCCUAUACUUCUAGAGAA
rnacentral:rRNA from 1 species